UUAGAAGGUUGGCAUUUGACCUGGUUCUAUGGCCAGAAUCCUUUCCUCCAAGGCUCUGCCAUGGUUGGGGCAGUCCACGGGAUCCGUCCUUCUCAGUUGAAGAGCUGGACCUGAAUGGAGUUCAGAAUAUUUACCUACUUAGCAACCCCUGCUUUCUGAGAGAAUGCCCAGUGUUUUGUCUGGCCUCUCUCAAAAACGAUAUUUCUGAGCCUCCAUUGGAGCUGGAUGUGAUUGUUUGACUAAGUUGCGGCCAAUGAGACGUGAAUAAGAAAUGAUGUUUGUAUCUCCUGGGACCCGGCCAUAAGAGGAAGGAGAAAGUCGACUUGAACCAGACCAUACAGGUCGCCGUCCUGAUCACUGGUUCCACAGCUGGCUCCAGGAGAUGCAUACUUGUGACCACCUACCUCUACUGCAGAAAAGCAUCUGAGGCGGAGAUUGUGGUGAGCCGAGAUCGCUCCAUUGCACUCCAGCCUGGGUAACAAGAGCGAAACUCCGUCUCAAAAAAAAGAAAAAAAAAGAAAAGCAUUUAUUUCACCAGCUGGCUUGGUCCAGUUAAUAUUUCUAUUAGGCAUUUCUAGAAGUGCAUCUAGAAUCAGUCCCUGGGCCCCCACAAACUCCAAAGAAGAUCAAUCAAUACCUGUGUUUCCCUCAAACCUGAAGUGGAUGCUGCCCCUUUUCCAUCCAUAACUCCAUGGUGGGUUUUCAUUUCCACAUGUGCCAGAGCACAUUUCCAAUCAUGACUUUAUGCUGAAAGUUCUCUUUGACCACAGGACCCAUUCUGCCUUUGCAAACGGCAGGGAAGCCACGCCAGAGAAUUAGCAUCUCUGCCCCCAAAAGCUGUCCUCAGAUGGCACCUGUUAAGAAUUGGUAAAUGAUCAUUACAUCAGGGUGCAUGGGAUAUCUGUCACCUCAAGCAUUUAUCCUUUUUUUCAUAUUACAAACAUUCCAAUUAUACUUGUGGUUAUUACUCAUAUGCCUGCAUCCAAAUAUCUCAUGUAACCCAUAAGUAUAUCACUAUAUACUCAUUAAAAUUA